ensembl:lncRNA
CGGGUCGGGUAAUGCCAGGCUUUCCAGGCAGGGUUCGGUUCUGAAUUCCCCUCCACCCUGGGCGGUAGCACGGGACCCCUUCCCGAGCUUCCGGCUGUUCUCGUGAGGUUUUCAGCCCCGCGAACCCACUCUCAGCUGCCGCACGGCUGGCCUCCCAGCGUCCAGGUGUCCGCUCCUCUGGGGAGACCGGCCAGGAGACGCUCUCCUCAGCGCUUGCCUGAGUGGGCAAGUCAGGCUCUGGGGCCGGCAGAAAUCCUCGUGUGAGGGCCCCCCGAGGGGCCUGGUCGCAGUGCUGCAGCUGAGCGCGGGGGCUGCUUGGGACUACUGCUCGGGCGCUGCAGGGCAAGUAAGUCUGCAUACGACAACUAGAGAAGCCUGAGCACCACAAUGAGAAGCCCUUGCACUGCAACUGCAGAAAGCCUGAUGCAACAAAGACCCAGUGCAACAACAGCAAUAAAAAGCAAUUUAAUGUAAGGAUCAAGUAAUAAUAUCCGUGAAAGUACAACAGAAAUGGAAGAUGGAAGUUGAAAUGAUUUGAUUGUUUGCAAUGGAUAGAAAAAUGAACCAAGGAAGAACAGCAAACUGGAAAAUAAAACUCACAGAUUUUUUCUUGUUUUACUGUCUUUUAAGUGGUUUUGCUUCUGAAUCCCAAAAUAUUGAGUUUGAAGUGAUUUCGUUUAUUUCAUGUUUCCUGAUUCAUCAGAAAGCCUUCUUGGAAUCUGACAUGUACUUUGGGACCAUUGACCAGCUGUUCCUGACUUGGCC